rnacentral:lncRNA from 1 species
UAUUUUUUGAGAGAGAGAAAGAGACGAGUGUGAGCAGGGAAGGGGCAGAGAGAGAGGGAGACAUAGAAUCCAAAGCAGGUGCCAGGCUCUGAGCUGUCAGCCAUCCAGGUGCCCCAUCGAGCUGCAUUUCAUUUAGUUUCCCCCCCCACCCCCUGAGGUUUUCUUAUUCUUUUGUUUGGAGCACACUUUUCUGUUCAUUUUGCUUUACUUUCUGUGUUUGUUUCUAUGAAUUAGGUGGAACAGGUACUUCUAAAUUUUUAAGAAAUUUGUUCUGAGAGAGAGCAUGUGCACAAGCGCGGGGAGCGGGGACAGACAGAGGGAGAGAAUCCCAAGCAGGCUCCGCCCUCUCCGUGGGCAGCCGGUUGUGUGGGGCUCGACCUCGCGAAUCCUGAGAUCAUGACUGAGCCGAAACCAAGAGGCUGGCCCUUAACUCACUGAGCCACCCAGGCGCCCCUCCUCCUCCUAAUCCCGAAGGAAGGAACUGGUGUGUCCCCUGCGUAGACGGUGUCUGGUGUCGUUGGCUGGCUGUUGCUGUCGCAGGCUGGGGUCCUGGAGCGCUGCGUUCUGGGGCGAACCUGGUGGUGUGGCAGUUGGCGUGGGCUGGGAGUCACAGCCCUCCCCCGCAGCAGGCGGCCUGGCUGGCCUGCCCGGGGGUGGGGGUCAGCCACACAGCUUAGUGGCCCUAGAACGCCACAUGCGGCGGAUGCGCUGGCGACGCGGCUGGACCCGAGGCAUCGGGGAGCCGGGAGGUUUCUGGGUGCUCUCUGCGGGGGGCCCUGGCAGGGCGUCCGAGCCGAGGUGGACACGGACGGCUGGAGAGGGGAUGGGCCUUGGUCAGGGGUCCGCAGAGGGGACCCGGAGGAACCGUUCUGCAAAGAGCGGUAGAGGUGCGACCCGCCGAGGUGGCGCGGGGCCUUCCCUGUCGCGCGCGGGGCUGCAGACCGUCAAGCGCUGUCCUUAACCUCCGGAAACGUCCCAGGGAAGGGAACAUUCGAGCGGCUCGGAAGCUGUAUCACAGAGACAGAGCGCACGGCAGAGCGCGCGUUGGUUCAGCAUCGAGGUGCAGCGUUUAGGAAAGUGAUCUUUGUUACCAUUUCAACGUUUUCAAUGGAUAAGACUAGCAAUUAGGGCAAAGUACAGUUUUUGGACUAAGACUCAAAUAAUAGUAAUGACUAGAAAUUCCUGAUCAUUUCAGUUGAAAGCCCGUUUUAUUU